UACGGGGGGGGCAAGCGUUGUUCGGAAUUACUGGGCGUAAAGGGCUCGUAGGUGGCCAACUAAGUCAGACGUGAAAUCCCUCGGCUUAACCGGGGAACUGCGUCUGAUACUGGAUGGCUUGAGUUUGGGAGAGGGACGCGGAAUUCCAGGUGUAGCGGUGAAAUGCGUAGAUAUCAGGAGGAACACCGGUGGCGAAGGCGGGUCUCUGGGCCGUAACUGACGCUGAGGAGCGAAAGCAUGGGGAGCGAACAGG
rnacentral:rRNA from 1 species